GUGGUCGUAAGGCUUGCGCCUGAGAGGAUUAUACCACCGACGGGUAUAGGAGGCAGAUAAUAAGGAUGAUGAUGAUGGUGAGAAGGAGGAAUCAUCUGUGGGGCUAGUAGCGCAACAGGUGAAAGUAUUGUUGGUGGAUUUGCAGGAGAAAAAGAAGAGGGAGAAAGGUUCGCGCUUGGGUGAUGAGCCCAGGCUAAAGACAGUG
rnacentral:misc_RNA from 1 species